rnacentral:tRNA from 1 species
GGGGCCGUAGCUCAGUUGGGAGAGCGCCUGGUUUGCAACCAGGAGGUAGCGGGUUCGAGACCCGUCGGCUCCA